rnacentral:rRNA from 1 species
CGGGCCGCCCUUUAAUGCGCCCUAGUUGAGGGCAGCACGAGAGAGCUUGCUCUCUUGGUGGCGAGUGGCGGACGGGUGAGUAAUAUAUCGGAACGUGCCUAGUAGCGGGGGAUAACUACUCGAAAGAGUGGCUAAUACCGCAUACGCCCUACGGGGGAAAGGGGGGGAUCGCAAGACCUCUCACUAUUAGAGCGGCCGAUAUCGGAUUAGCUAGUUGGUGGGGUAAAGGCUCACCAAGGCAACGAUCCGUAGCUGGUUUGAGAGGACGACCAGCCACACUGGGACUGAGACACGGCCCAGACUCCUACGGGAGGCAGCAGUGGGGAAUUUUGGACAAUGGGGGAAACCCUGAUCCAGCCAUCCCGCGUGUAUGAUGAAGGCCUUCGGGUUGUAAAGUACUUUUGGCAGAGAAGAAAAGGUACCUCCUAAUACGAGGGUACUGCUGACGGUAUCUGCAGAAUAAGCACCGGCUAACUACGUGCCAGCAGCCGCGGUAAUACGUAGGGUGCAAGCGUUAAUCGGAAUUACUGGGCGUAAAGCGUGUGUAGGCGGUUCGGAAAGAAAAGAUGUGAAAUCCCCAGGGCUCAACCUUGGAACUGCAUUUUUUAACUGCCGAGCUAGAGUAUGUCAGAGGGGGGUAGAAUUCCACGUGUAGCAGUGAAAAUGCUUAAUAUGUGGAGGAAUACCGAUGGGCGAAAGGCGGCCCCCCUGGAAAAUU